CUCUGUGACUCCUACGGGAGGCAGCAGUGGGGAAUAUUGCACAAUGGGGGAAACCCUGAUGCAGCCAUGCCGCGUGUGUGAAGAAGGCCUUCGGGUUGUAAAGCACUUUCAGUAGGGAGGAAGGUAGUGUAGUUAACACCUGCACUAUUUGACGUUACCUACAGAAGAAGCACCGGCUAACUCCGUGCCAGCAGCCGCGGUAAUACGGAGGGUGCGAGCGUUAAUCGGAAUUACUGGGCGUAAAGCGCAUGCAGGCGGCCUGUUAAGUCAGAUGUGAAAGCCCCGGGGCUUAACCUCGGAAUUGCAUUUGAAACUGGCAGGCUAGAGUCUUGUAGAGGGGGUAGAAUUUCAGGUGUAGCGGUGAAAUGCGUAGAGAUCUGAAGGAAUACCAGUGGCGAAGGCGGCCCCCUGGACAAAGACUGACGCUCAGAUGCGAAAGCGUGGGGAGCAAACAGGAUUAGAUACCCUGUAG
rnacentral:rRNA from 1 species